UAAAUGGCGAUGAUGAGGAAUAGUACUGGCUGGAAAGGCUGCAGAGAGGGAAUCGAAUGGUGUAAGAUUCCUGCCCGGAACGUUUGGAACCUACCUUUGAGCCCCGCAUGAAAGUGCGGCGUUCCUCUGGCGUUAACAGAGUUUAAAAGAGGACCGGGAAUACAACCUGGUUAAUUAGGGUGGUACCGCCGAAGCCUUUCGGUCCCUUCU
rnacentral:ncRNA from 1 species